GAUUCUCUCUGAUUUUUUUGAAAGCACAAAGAGGCUUCAUAUUUAAUUUAUAGUAUUAUAUAAGCUGCUGCUGCUGCUGGGGUGUGUGUGUGUGUGUGUGUGUGUGUGUGUGUGUGUGUGUGUGUCUUCCAGCAUAAUCCUGACUGUGGUAGUUUGGAUUUUGCAUUAUGGGGGCAACCACCAUUCUAGCAUCUGAAUACUCAUUCUAGAGGGCUAAAUCCAUGAGAGCAAAAGUAUAGAAACAAUUUUGCAGUGCUGGUGGCAUUUCCCUUGCCUAUAAAACCAAUUUUAACUGCACAAAACCCUCAGCACAUUGCAUGUGGGAAAUGCAGUGGCUGCACAUUAAGCUGUUACGAAUAACUGCUGUUGGGAUGGAAUGAAAUGGAAACAAAUCUGCAUUUUAUUUGCACUCUCUCUGCAAUUCCAUGCCAUCCAGACUGCAGUUACGUUCUGUGCACAGCAACACCGCCAAAAAGGAGAUGAGAUCUUGGAGUUUAAGGAGGACAAGUCACUCACCACUCCGCCAAUCACUGGUGGCACUUGGACUGUUCCCUAGGAAUUCUGGAUUUCAAAGCCUGUUCCUGCUCCUCUACUCCAAGCUACCUGAGGGCAGAAAACAUGUCUUCAUUUAUCUUUGCCUUUCCAACAGCAUAUGGCUCUUUCUGACACACAGUGGGUGUGAACAUUGAUAAAAUAUUUAACAAGGGUUAGCAAAGCAAUAAACUCAAAAGCCAUAUCUAGGUCAAUUCAUUUUUGUGUGAACAGAGGGACAUUUUUAUCUCUAACCCAAGGUGUUGAGGCUGAGUUUACAUUUUCUAGUUUGUCCCCAAACUUGGCUUACUUCAGAGAAGAGCACUAUUGGGUCAUAAGAGUUGUCUUUCCUCUACUGUGUAAAAUAAAGAGAUUUAGAUGCUGAAGAGAGAGCUACACAGGAAAAACAAGCAAAGCUACAAUUCUGGGUUACCUUGUCGUUAGCUAGACAUUAAAUACCAAUGCCUAGAAUUCAUUCAAUCAUUUAUUCAUAUAUCCAUUCACGAAUUCAUUCAUUCAUUCAUCUCCCAGAUGGUUUUUUGCCUGAACUCACCUCACUACUUAGGUUUGACAAAGAAACACAGCACAGUCUUUGAUUAUGACAAGCUCAGUCAUGCUGAAUACAUUUUGUUCUUUCAUACGACUUUCUCCUAAAUGAAAAUAGUAUUGCUAAUUGUAAAAGAUGAUUAUAAAAUACAGAGUCAAAACAUUAAAAGAAAAAUUCACUAUAAUCCCCCACUUAAACAUGAAUAACUGACUAACAUUUGGUUGCAUUGCCUCCCAGACUUUUCUAUAUAUAUUUUACAAGUACGAUAUACUGUAAGUACCAAUUUACAGCCUUUUCUUUACUUAACCAGGAUGUUUAUAUAUUUUCAUUUUAUUAGAUACUCCUCGACAGUGCCUUUUUUAAUCUACAAAUUGUUUCACUCAAUUGCUUUAUACUACUUCAUUUAACCAUGGCUUGGAGGUAUUAUUCUUAAUAGUAUUAUUGUUAUUAAAAUAAAAUAAAAUGAAAUAAUGAAACACUGAUGUUGGCAAAGGUGUGGGAAAUGAAAAUACCCCCAAAUUUCACCUGUUUACUUCUUUUGCAUUAGUUUUUUUAAAUUACUUUUGGGUAGCUUGACACAUCUUUAAUUUAAGCACUAAUUAUUGUACAUAAUGCAGCUACACCUGUGGUGAACAUGCUUUUUAUUAGCAUUAAAACUAAAGACAUCAAAGAAUCAUAUCAGGAUAAAACGUUUAUUUCUAAUUUAAUAGAACUGCAAUUAAAGCAAAUUUGAUCUGAAUGAAAUCCCAUCAUAACGGGCCUUUUUUUUCCUACACAGUGAGCGAAAAUUAUUCUCCCCUAAAUUGAAGAUUAAUAACAUGUUUUUAAUGUUAAAUGUAGCAAUUCAAGCAUUAGGUUGCAAUUCAAGUUCAACAUCAUUGAACAUUUUAUAAACUUCACAUUUUAACAUCUCUGAAAAGCGCUCUGAGGUAAAAGCAUUAGCAUUAAAUGCAUUAAUGUUAUUUUUCUUUAUAAAUGAGCUUAUAACGGUGUUGUUACCUUCAUUUGAAUAUUUUAAUGAAGGGAUAAUAUAAGGAGAGUGCUCCAUUUUCAUAAGGUAAUUGUUUCUUCCCUAAGUGGCUAAACUUGGACAGAAAGUGGAGUUUAUCUCAUUGAAAUUCUAUUAUGGCUGCAUAGUUGUUGUUACUUGUCAGAAUCUUUCAUUACCUGGUAACUGGGACUUUUGGCUAACGCUCUUCCUUCCCAUGACAUCCAGUCUUCUGCUGUCCUGUGGUGUAAUCCUAUCCUCUGGCAAGUCACAGCAGCAAAUCUUUGGUAUCUUGCUCUAGUACUCACUGGCUCGGCACUUAAACUUUAGCUGGAUGGAGAAUUCUGAUUUAAAUUAAGUUCAGGCCAAGUUGGUAAAAUGUAAGCUAAAUCUGCACUAGAAAUAAAAAUGAUGGAAAGGUAUGCAAUCUCUCUCAAAUUACUCAAAGCUGAGUUUGUACUUUCGGUAGCUUCAUUGCAAAAAUGGCCCCGUUUUUCUUCCUUUUGCUAAAGCCACUCUACUUACCAUGCUACUUUUCAGAUUCUCUCAUCAAGAGAUGGAGUCUGAGUCUUCACUCCCUGUAUCUGGGCUGGCCUUGUGAUUGGCUUUUGACUAAUAGAAUGUGGCAAAAGAGGUGCUUUUCAUGGGUCCACUCUUGGUCUUAGACCUGUGCCUCCACUAUGGCAACAAGUUCAAGCUAGCCUAUUGGAGGAUGACACCUUGUGGAGGAGAACCAAAGUGCUCCACCCAAGAGCCAGCCAUCCCUCACAUGCAGAGCUGCCUAAGCUAAAUGCAGCUCAUAACAGACUCAGGAGGAAGCCCAGCAAAAGUCCGAAGAACCACCCCACUGAACUCAGUCUAAAUUCACUCACAGUAAUGAGCUAAAUUAAUGGCUGUUGAGUGGUUUAUUGCUCAGCAAUAGAUAACUAAUACAAUAUCCUCUCUCUGCCAGAGUCUGAGUGAUUAUGGAUGAUCUACUACUUUAUCUGAGUUUUCUCAUUCUCUUCGGUAAAGUAAAAACAGUAAGACUGCCUUAUAGGCUUGUCUUGAAUUAAAGACAAUAGAUAGGAACUAGUAUAGUGCAUAUCAUAGAAUAGUGCUCAGUAUAAAGGUUAGC
ensembl:lncRNA